GCGUAAGCUAAUUGUAUUAAUUAAUACAAUAUCGAUUAUGUCGGAUAAAGUUCUAGAUAGAAUAAUGAUAAUGACAAUUUUCUAUCUAUAUGUCUUGGCCAAAUCUCGUGCCAGCAGCCGCGGUAAUACGAGGAAGACUAGUGUUAUUCAUCUUUAAUAGGUUUAAAGGGUACCUAGACGGUACUUUUAGCCCAAAACAGGGUACGGAUUUACUAGAGUUUUAUGUGAGAAGGGGAGUACUCAUGGAGUAGAGAUGAAAUUUUGUAAUACUAUGGGGUAACUGGUAGAGGCGAAAGCAACCUUCUAUGUAUAAACUGACGUUGAGGGACGAAGGCCCGGGUAGCAAACAGGAUUAGAUACCCUAGUAGUCCAGGCAGAAAUUUAUGAAUGUCAUAGACUAGACUGGGACGGUAAACUUCAAAUAUGAAGGGAAAAGGAGAAUUUCCAUAAAAACCGUAAAGCCAUAUUUGCUUCAGUAUAGCAAUGUUAAAACUAAAUAGGUG
rnacentral:rRNA from 1 species